UAUCCAUUGUACUAUCUUGGAAUUAUUGGCUGGGUAGAAUGUUACAGUAGAACACAAAAUCAUCUUCUUGUCUGAAUUACUGUCACCAUGGAAAAAAUUGGAAAAAAUAUUAUUUUGUGUCAACCAGUUGCACCCCACUGCACACACGGAUGUCUCUUAAAGCCAUCAAGAUAAUAUCUGAGUAUGUAAUCAUAGCUGGAACAGUAAGGAAUCCUCUUUUUCUGCAACAACCAAACAGCACAUUGAGCCCACAAAGACAUGACCCACAUUGUCACUCUCAGCCAAAGCUAGAAACUAGAUUUCUUCCUUUAUGGCCUUUGUGCUAUCAUUUUUUUUCCCCAAAAAAAUGUGCAGCUGGGAAAUUUUGAAGAAAACUCUAGCAUACUAAGUAACUUGCAUAGCUAAGGCUAAAACAGCAAGCUUUGCAAGAAAUUUUGGGCCAGAAACCAAGUAGGCUUAAAUUAUGUUUAAGAACUAUUUCUAGGUGUAUACAACAGUCCAUCACCAGUUAUUUUUCCAAAUCUUCUUCCUAUGGUACAGAUUAUGAAUGUAAUAAUUCCUGCUGCAUUUACCAUACUAAAAAGUUUUAAUUGCUUCAACGAAAGUGACUAUAUGUAUUUUAUUCAGCAUUUAUUGUAUAAUUCUUAAACAUACCAUAUAUAUAUAUAUAAAAUUGUGUUUCUAACUAAAAUUCUGCUUCAAGGAAAGCAAUGUAGUUUUCUUUUAACAUCUUAAUUUGCAAGAUGCUGAAUACUCCAAGCACUCUAAAAUAUGCAAGGGGUGCUUAGCACAACAGAGGAAGUGCACAGCUCUUGACAGCAUCCACUUUUUUACUGUUCCAUUAGGAACAACUUUCUGUUACCCCUAAUGAACAAAACUACUAUAUAUUUUGAUUCUGAAUUUGUUUUCUAGUUUAUGAAAUUUGCCAUUUUGAUCAGGUUUUGUUUGGGCAAAGAAAAAGCAAACACAGCUGGUAAAUAUAAGUUGCAUUUGCUUUCACCAUGUUUUCUUGCUUAUGGUUCUAACUUUAAUAUAAAGUUCUGUUGUUUAGUUCUGCUUUUAAAAGCAAACCAAACAUAUUCUACACUGCAAGAAAUCUGUGGGUAGCUACAUGGAACAAAUGCAUUUGUCCUCUAAGUGGUCAUUUUCCAUAAAAGCACAUUAAAGUACAAUUUAUCCAGUUUACUAAAACACUGUAAUAUUUCUGUGUUUAGCAUUAUGUUCAUGGAUGGAUGACUGUUCUACAACAGAAUGUAGUAUUUACUGUACUUGCAAUUUUCUAUACUUCUUGGCCACCAAUAACUAAGAAAGAUGAACUGUGAACAAGUCUAAUAGAUUGUGGUCUAUUAGUACACUGUAGUUUUAUUUUAGAAUAAACUGGGUGGAAGCACAGAGAAAGAGCACCACUUUGUUGAUUUAAGUGAACUUUUGCAGCCCAGAACCUGGAUCUUGUUUGUUCUGGGCAUAUAUGAAGCUGGAUGUAUUAUUUGUUACUUCUGUUUAAAUAUGGUUCUUGUUAAAUUGAUUCAGGGCAAGAUUUUUGAAACCUCAUUGCAAGGAACUUUGCUGUCUGGAUAAAAGGAGAGGGGAAAGGAGCAGCACUGGCUUAGGAACAAGACAGGGAUCAGAGAAUGGUUUGACUAUUUUGGUGCAGUUUGUGUUUCUAGGAACGAAAUUUCCCAUUAUAACAGUCGCUUUCAGUGGCUUAUUUUGCCAUUAACAUAGACAGAAAAAAUUGUCACUUAAAAUUUACAUCAAAACAUAGACCAGAUUCACGGCACCCUUAAAAUGAUGCAUGUAGCAUCCUACAGACUACAGUUAGUCUUUGGUAAAAUUUCUGACAGACGCAAAAUUUGUGCUGGUACAUUGCUUGGAUUUGAUCAGUGUAUCUGAGUUGCUAGUAAUUGUUGUCUUGCUUUUAAUGGAUAUGUGAGCUUUUAGUUCCAAACAAAGUGGGGAAAGUCAUGUGGUUUGAUAUAUUCUGGGAUCUCUUCCCAGAGAUAUCAAGAAACAGAACAUUAUAGAUCAAAGGAAGGAAGCCAUUGGAUUAUGCAAGGUCCAUAGUGAUGCCCACCCCCAGCUUUCCUAGCAGCUUGUUUCUGAGAUGCAGAUAUUUUGAGCACUAGAAGGGACUCCCCACAUGUAGAAGGGGAGUACCUUAGAAAGCUAGUGAAUUACACAUAGUUUUUAAGAGGACUUUAUCUGCAUUUUGUCAUCAUGAAAAACACUAUAGUUUUCCACAUUUUUUUUUUCUUUUGUGAUACAAUUAUACACUUUUUAGUAUCUCAUCAUGUUUUUCACCACUGUUAAAGGGAAAUGGACCAGGCUGGUUGGGCAAGAUUUUAUAACCUUGUACAAACAGCAAAACUGAAGGUCAUACAAAGUAGUGCUACCAAAAGCAACUCACUGAGCAAUAGAGAGUCAGUAGUAAUUUAAUUAGCUGCUUAUAGCAGUCAUAGCAUGAAAAGCCAGCUGUGUAACUGCAGCCUUCACAAUUUCCAGCAGAAAAGCAACACCAAAACAACCCCAAAUAUAUUCUUCAGGAUUCUCAAGUCUAAGGGCAUUUAUUUGCCUUUAGUAGCAUGAAUAGUAACUUCCCCAGAGGUGUUUGCUAAUGACUACAUAUAUUUGUUAUAUUACAUAUGCUUAUGAUGUUGGAUUUUAAAAUAAUAAAUAGAGAUGUGGAUGUAAUGAAGGCUUUUGGUUGGUAUGGAAGUAGAAAUCGCAAAAUAACUUUGAGUUUUCACCACAUGGAAGUGUUUUUGAAAGGUUUUUGAACAUAGAUAUAUUCCCCAUAGUGGGAAAGUGGGAAGGCAACUGAUCAUCAUUGCAAGAGCUAAACAUGGCAGUAACAUUCCUCAUAGUAAAAGCAGAAAUUGAAGCCAGAGGAGACAUGGACUGUGGCAGUGCCUCAUGGAAAUUCCUGGGCAGCCUGAGGUUCCUUCCUGUCUUCACUUCUUAAUAGUGCAACCUAAAGAGCCAGAGGAUUGUUGUGAGGUGUGCUGCUGUUGUGGGAUAAAUGGCAAUAACAACAUCUUGUAGAAGAGAGGGAGUUCAGGGUUUUUUUUUAUUCCUCCCAAAACUACCAGCUUGGUUUCUGCUUAUUGACAGCAGCAGUCAUGUGUGAGCUCCAACCCAGGUCCAAACAGGCUUUGUGCUAAACAUAUAACUUGGUUUGCUCUUCUCCUUUGGAUACUUCUCAGUGGUAAAAAUAAUAUUGCCCCUCACAACCCUGCAGACACCACUGAGAGUACUGGGAGCUGGAACUGUCACUGCCAGCCAUGAGAGAUUCACAAGUGCACAGCUCAUUUUUGGUACUAAUUAAUUAUGUCAUGAAAGGGAAAUUUAUUCUUCCCCCUUCCUUCCAGCCCCCACCUUCCCCAAUCCUUGCUAAUCUUGCUUUCUGGAUAACAGGGGGAAAAUGAGGAAGGUGUUUAGCAGUCUCAGUUGUCUCUGCGAUUCAAAUCACAGAAUGAAGCCGGAUAGCAAAACAAGUGCAGAUCAGGCAAAGACUGCCUGCUCCGCUUGUGUUUUCUCUGCUAGAAUCAGUUUCAAAUAUUAGGUGGAUUUUUUUUUUCUGUUGCAAUUAACUAAGAAAAAUGUUUCAAAGCUGUAUAAUUAAAAGCCAGCAUUUUAUUCGAUUUUAAAAUAGCCUUUAUGAAAUCUACUCCUGCCACUGGUAAUUACAAUGUACAUCUUAAUACACCUCUGCUAGGCCUGAGCUGGAGAUAACAGUCCUGUGUGUAUUGCAUUUGGCUUGUGCAUAGAAGGUAAAAUCCUUUAUCUUAUCUCAAUCUCCAAACAACCAGCCUCUCUUCCAAUUCAGCCCUAAUCUUCUUAGUAAAUAAUACUGAUAUUUUUCACCAUAACAAAAAUGGAGCUGCCAGAUUCAGACUGAUAACACCUCUCAUUUACACACCAUUCUCUGUCAAAAUCUGCCUGAUUUUUCUUAAUCUCUUUAACUCAUCAAAAAAUACUUUUUUACAUUCAGCCAUGGUAAGUUCCUUGCUACCAAAUAAUAUUAUUAUAAAUAAAUCUGUUGAAUACAGCUGCCUCUUUGGGUAAAUACUGGAACUCCCCUCUUUCCUGACUUGUUUCCUUGAAAGAUAACAAAUUAUUUUUGCCGACUUUAAUUUUGCUGUAAAAUUUGAUAUUCUAAUGAAAUUCCCUAAAAGGAUUGUUUAACUGAGAUCAUUCAUGCCUAAAAGUAUUUUUUUUUUCUUCCACAGGCUGUCAUAUCAGUUCACUUCUCGAGAAUGUUGUCUUUGCACUGCCAUCCUUUCCCUUUCAAUGGCUUAUCUUUAAAACAGAGGAAAUAUUUGGGUUUUUAUAGCUAUUAAUUAUCUCUGUAUGAUUUCUUAAAUGUAAAAAACACUGCUGAGAGAAUGGUAGGAAAAAAAGGUGGGUAUCUGGACUUCUGCUUACAAUGAUUAAAUGGAAAGAAUAUACUUACAUGUGACAAGCUUGUUUCGGCAGCAACCUAAACUUUAAGUGACACAGAAGGGGACCUGUCCUAACGUGGCAAAAGAUCCAUGUAAGUAAACAUUAACUCAGUCAUUUUACUUCAAAUCUGCUUUCACCCAUUGCUGUGCAGCAGACUACAGAAUAUACAGCACCAGCAAUUUUGGAUUUCCUGUAUCAGAAAAAACAGACUGAAAAUCUAUAGCAGAAUAUGGCUCAGAAUUUCCAGAUGUUACAGCUGGCAGGAAUAGGAAUUUGUCUUCUGUAGAGCCUGUGGGCAUAAAAUGUUAGUUCCUUGGUGGGAUAUAUUGAAAACCAUGGCAAAAGGGGCUUUGUUCCACUAACUUUCAGGAGGGUUUUACAGGGCCAUUUUUACUCCACUCUUUCUUACUUAUUAAAGCUUGCAGAAGUAUUUUUCAGAAGCAAGGCUGCACAUGUUCAUUAUGAAGUAAUGAGAUCCUAUUUCAAGGCUUGAAAUGUUGCUGACAUGCUUCCAAAGUGCUAAUUGGGCUGUUUUAAUAGGGAAACACUACAACAUCACUAUCCAGGCCAGAAUUAUGGAAAAGAUGAAUCAGAUUCUUCAGAUGAUCUGUCAUCUUUGUAUCACUCUGAGAGAGUUUUCAGAUGCAGUAUCUUUAUUUGGGGGGAAGUGGGUGCUCUGAGUGUGAGUUUCAGUGAUGACCCAAAGGUGCAAAUACUGAUGAAAAAGAAGAGCCACAUCACCGUGAGCUUGGCAGGCAGGGAGCACCAACCCUCACCUGGAAGUCUGCUGCCAUCCAGAGCAGUCUGGGACAGAGGGACAUCAAUGAGCCAAGAGGGAUGCCAAAAAUUGGUGAGAAGGAUUUGUAAGGAACUGCCUCCUUGAAAAGUCUUGGUUCUGCUGAAACCAAAUUACAUGGCAAACAUUCAACUUGGUUUCACCUGAAUUUUCUUUUGAAAGAAAGAAAGGAAAAAAAUGUCAAAAUAAUCGAUUUUAACAUUAAUGUGGGUUCAUUUUUCAUGUGAAAUUAUUUUUUGCUUUUGUAUUACAUUUUCUCUAAUAAAGUUAUUUAUUACAGCACAAAUUCAAACAUUAACUUCAAAAUGGGGUAUUAUGAAUGACCUUGAGUGUUCAAAUAGUUCUUUGCAAAAAAAUUUGAAAUAUCUGUAUUUCAGUCCUAGCACAGAAUGAAGCUCUUGUCACCAAAGUUCCUUCUGCGUAGUCUCAGGGUAAGUUUGCAGCUGAUUUGGGAAGUAAGGAUUGAAUUUGGACUUGUCUCUGUGGCUAGCACAGAAGCACUCACAUUUCUGAACAUGGUUUCUUACAUAUUCUGUGAUUUCUAAAAAGUCUUGAUCUAUGGUCCUUUAAUAUCACCAGAAACCUUUUCCCUGGCUGGAGCUUGGACCAUAGACACAAAACUUUUGAACACUUGUCUUGGUUUAGAGCAAAUUUGGGAGAAAACUUCCAAAUGGGUUCCGCACAGAAAGCAAAUUCAAGUGGCCCCUUCCCCAACUGGUUCGGGAAAAAAGAUUUCCUUGGAGAGAAGGGGAAAAAAAUGUUUAUUUAACAGA